rnacentral:misc_RNA from 1 species
GAUGAAUAACGUAGCAAAAUGCGAUAAGUAAUGUGAAUUGCAGAAUUCAGUGAAUCAUCGAAUCUUUGAACGCACAUUGCGCCCCCUGGUAUUCCGGGGGGCAUGCCUGUUCGAGCGUCAUUUCACCACUCAAGCCUCGCUUGGUAUUGGGCAACGCGGUCCGCCGCGUGCCUCAAAUCGACCGGCUGGGUCUUCUGUCCCCUAAGCGUUGUGGAAACUUUCGCUAAAGGGUGUUCGGGAGGCUACGCCGUAAAACAACCCCAUUUCUAAGGUUGACCUCGGAUCAGGUAGGGAUACCCGCUGAACUUAAGCAUAUCAAUAAGCGGAGGA